UUAAGUGAAUAAGGGCGCACGGAGGAUGCCUUGGCACUAGGAGUCGAAGAAGGACGCGACAAACGGCGAAACGCCUCGGGGAGCUGUAAGUGAGCAUUGAUCCGGGGGUAUCCGAAUGGGGAAACCCGCUAGUGGUUAUACGCUAGCACCAUAUGGUGAAUACAUAGCCAUAUAGGAGACAGACCCAGGGAACUGAAACAUCUAAGUACCUGGAGGAAAAGAAAGAAAAAUCGAUUCCCGUAGUAGCGGCGAGCGAAGUGGGAAGAGCCCAAACCGGAUUUAUCCGGGGUUGUAGGACCUUCAUAAUUGACAAAUCAUGAUAGCCGAAUGGUCUGGGAAGGCCAACCGUAGGGGGUGAGAGUCCCGUAGGUGAAAUUGUGAGAUGCAUGGAAGGAAUCCUGAGUACGGCGGGACACGUGGAAUCCCGUCGGAAUCAACGAGGACCAUCUCGUAAGGCUAAAUACUACCUAGUGACCGAUAGUGAACCAGUACCGUGAGGGAAAGGUGAAAAGAACCCCGGGAGGGGAGUGAAAGAGAACCUGAAACCGUGUGCCUACAAAUAGUCAGAGCCCGUUAAUGGGUGAUGGCGUGCCUUUUGUAGAAUGAACCGGCGAGUUACGAUAUCGUGCGAGGUUAAGCAGAAGAUGCGGAGCCGUAGCGAAAGCGAGUCUGAAUAGGGCGAAGAGUACGAUGUUGUAGACCCGAAACCGUGUGAGCUAGCCAUGAGCAGGCUGAAGGUCAGGUAACACUGACUGGAGGGCCGAACCAGGGCACGUUGAAAAGUGCUUGGAUGACUUGUGGCUAGGGGUGAAAUUCCAAUCGAACACGGAUAUAGCUGGUUCUCUCCGAAAUAGCUUUAGGGCUAGCCUCGAUGUUAAGUCUACUGGAGGUAGAGCACUGAAUGGGUGAUGGCCCCACCUCGGGGUACUGAUCUCAAUCAAACUCCGAAUGCCAGAUAGAUAUAAUCGGGAGUCAGACUGUGGGUGAUAAGGUCCAUGGUCAAAAGGGAAAGAGCCCAGACCGCCAGCUAAGGCCCCCAAGUGUCCGUUAAGUGGAAAAGGAUGUGGAGAUGCACAGACAACUAGGAGGUUGGCUUAGAAGCAGCCAUCCUUUAAAGAGUGCGUAAUAGCUCACUAGUCGAGUGACUCUGCGCCGAAAAUGUACCGGGGCUAAACGGACCGCCGAAGCUGCGGAUUGACUUUAGAGUCAGUGGUAGGAGAGCGUUCUAACAGCGGUGAAGCAGUACCGGAAGGAGCUGUGGAGCGGUUAGAAGUGAGAAUGCCGGUGUGAGUAGCGAAAGAUAGGUGAGAAUCCUAUCCAUCGAAAGCCUAAGGUUUCCAGGGGAAGGCUCGUCCGCCCUGGGUAAGUCGGGACCUAAGGUGAGGCCGAAAGGCGUAGCCGAUGGACAACAGGUUGAUAUUCCUGUACCACUUAUUAAACUGAUGGAGUGACGGAGAAGGCUAAGUUGAGCGUGUGAUUGGAUUCACGUGUAAGCAGUGAGGUGGUCAUGUAGGCAAAUCCGCAUGGCAUAACAUUGAGCUGUGAUGCCGAAGCCGACUGGCGAAGUCAACUGACGUCACGCUUCCAAGAAAAGCUUCUAGGGUUAAUUUAAUAAGUGCCCGUACCGAUAACCGACACAGGUAGGCGAGGAGAGAAUCCUAAGAUGAGCGAGAGAACUCUUGUUAAGGAACUCGGCAAAAUGACCCCGUAACUUCGGGAGAAGGGGUGCUUGUGAAAGCAAGCCGCAGUGAAUAGGCCCAGGCGACUGUUUAUCAAAAACACAGGUCUCUGCUAAACCGCAAGGUGAUGUAUAGGGGCUGACGCCUGCCCGGUGCUGGAAGGUUAAGAGGAGAGGUUAGCGCAAGCGAAGCUUUGAAUUGAAGCCCCAGUAAACGGCGGCCGUAACUAUAACGGUCCUAAGGUAGCGAAAUUCCUUGUCGGG
rnacentral:rRNA from 1 species